rnacentral:rRNA from 1 species
UACGAAGGGGGCUAGCGUUGCUCGGAAUCACUGGGCGUAAAGCGCACGUAGGCGGCUUUCUAAGUCAGGGGUGAAAUCCUGGAGCUCAACUCCAGAACUGCCUUUGAUACUGGAGAGCUUGAGUCCGGAAGAGGUGAGUGGAACUCCGAGUGUAGAGGUGAAAUUCGUAGAUAUUCGGAAGAACACCAGUGGCGAAAGCGGCUCACUGGUCCGGUACUGACGCUGAGGUGCGAAAGCGUGGGGAGCAAAGCAGG